UACGUAGGGAGCAAGCGUUGUCCGGAAUCAUUGGGCGUAAAGCGCGCGUAGGUGGCUUCGUAAGUCCGCUGUGAAAGUCAAAGGCUCAACCUUUGAAAGCCGGUUGAUACUGUGAAGCUAGAGUACGGAAGAGGCGAGUGGAAUUCCUGGUGUAGCGGUGAAAUGCGCAGAUAUCAGGAGGAACACCAACGGCGAAGGCGGCGCUCUGGGCCGGAACUGACGCUGAGGAGCGAAAGCGUGGGGAGCAAACAGG
rnacentral:rRNA from 1 species